rnacentral:lncRNA from 1 species
GGGGCGAGCCCCUCGGCGGCCGGGCCGGAAAGAAAUACAGAUGCAAAAGCAAGACCUGGAUAAAUGAGACAAGUAUUGUUCCUUCAAGCAGAACGUCCUGACUUCAAGACAGAUCCCAGACAGGCGAGCAAUGCCCCGCUGCAGCCGCUGGCAAUGGGUGGCCACUCACAAGAGGUGGGAUGGUUCCAUUCAUACAUCAAGGCUCGAUCCAAGCCCCGCUGGAGGUUUUUCAUCUCCCCCAAUGAAGUCCAGCUCAAGCACCUGGCCGACACGGAGCUCGGCUGACACGACAGGUGGAACCCUUCCAAAGUUUUGUUUUUAUAAGUCGCCGAAUUUACUCAGUAGCUCCUGUUUGUGGAAAGAAAUGUUGAAGUGUUAUUAAUUGCACUUAUCAAAUCAAGAAAAACUACAGCCACUGAGUUCUCAUGAAGGAAAAUGCUGUGAGCUCUGUGUGCACGCGUGCAGACACACACGGACGUCUGCAGGGGCAAGGUCACCGACCGCUGAGCCGCGGGCUGUGUGCAGAAGAGUGAAAACAACCCACAGACAAAUGUGCCAUUGUAAAUCUUGUCUCUUAUAGAAUACACGCCAUCAUCCCUUCGGCAAGCAGGAGGACGGGGUUCCCACGUUAGCAGCAGCAGCAGUUGGGAUUCCUAGAAAGACGCAGUGCCUUCGGGUGCCCAACCCAUCCCCGCGCCCUGCUGGGAUGCACGGCCAUUGCGGUGUGCAGGGAGAGUGAUCCCAAAACACAUCCAGCGCCACACCAACCUGCGAAUGGCGGUGGCACAUCUUCAAACCUCCCCGAAACCCAAGGCGGAAUUUCACCCUUUCCCACUUGUAUAGCUGCAAACAAACGCCGUGCUUGGCCUGAACGCGUCAGCGCGUGGGUUGUAGGGCCACACAGAGCCCCCGUUUCGUUGUGCUGCAGCAGCAGCCUGCUGCACCCCACAGCAUAUCUGCAUUUUCCUAUGGCAGGAAGGUGCAGCAGUGGGGCCACUGUAGCAAAAUGCCUCCACACCCUGCUCCAUCCACAGCCAAAUACGAAACACCAAUCCAAGAGUUUUCUUCAAGCUAUAAAAAUAAAGCAAAGUUGUUCCCAGGGAACAGAGAAAAAGUCAAUUCCACAGUCCCUGCACAGUUAUAAGCGCUCUCCAUAAGACUGAAUGCUUUUUUCUGCCUCGGAACAGCCCUCUCUGAUCCAGCAGAGCAAAGUUUGUUGAUAUUCGGGGUUGCAAACCCAUGUGUUUACUCAGGCUUUUGUCUGUCAGCAGAGUUUGAAGAGGUCGCUUUGAGAGAUCAAUAUUUUUUCCUGGGGGUUUCUUCAGAGCUACCACAAUUUGUUAUUGCGUCUGUUUAGAGGCUUUAAUUUGUGGUUUUCAAGAUUGCAUAACUGAGCAGAGAGGUGGUGAGAGGCCCACAUGAAGAGUUCAAAAUAAAUUUGACAAUAUAGUAAAUAUCUGCUCAGUAAUUUUCCCUGGUCUGAAUGCCACAGAAUGCCAACAGAGCCAUUAGUCAGGCUGGGUAUGAAGGUGCCUUUAUGGGAUCAGGGCACAUGUUUCCAUCCAGAUGGUACAGAACUGGAUUCACCUCACACGUCACUGACACCAACAGAGGACGUCCCUCUGGGGGCUCCCACCCGGGUGCCCAUUUAUAGGUUGCUCUAAAAGGCGUUGCUUUGAACCAGAUAUGGAAAAAUUAAAAUGAGACUUUAAUUUUGCCCUUUGCUCAGAGUUCUCAUAGUAAUUUACAUCAAAAUGAACCGAACCGCUCGCCUCCCAUAAGGCGGCCCAGGGGUUGAUUGUAUAUCAGUCCUGCAGACAUCAGCUGGGAGGUGUGGGGAUGCACACGGGGAUGCAUUCACUGCAGAUGGGAACUGUGGCCCCACAGGUCAUUGGGGGGCUGCAGGUGGAAGCCCAGCACUGACACCAUACAGAAAUGGGGUUCUCAGCACGGACGCUGCACGGCAUCCUCCAGCCAAGCAUCCCCGGCUCCGGGAGGAAGCACCUGUAAGCGUGGUGUCAGGGCACUGCGUGAAUGGGUGACGAGUUGGGGUUGGACUUGAUGAUCUUAGCAGUAUUUUCCAACCUUAAUGAUUCUACGAUUCUACGACUGCAG